UUUCGGGGUUCCUGGGUGUCACACAGAUCUCAGUGGCACCUCCAAAUGAAAGAACCUAGUGGGGAAAACCACUCAAUUCCCGAUCCAGCGUGCACCCAAAGAAUCACGAAAAGACCU
rnacentral:pre_miRNA from 7 species